CCCUUAGAUGUUCUGGGCCGCACGCGCGCUACACUGAUGCAUUCAACGAGUUUCUUCCUGGUCCGAGAGGAAUGGGUAACCUUUUGAAAGUGCAUCGUGAUAGGGAUAGACUAUUGCAAUUAUUGGUCUUCAACGAGGAAUUCCUAGUAGACGUAGUUCAUCAGACUGCAUCGAUUACGUCCCUGCCCUUUGUACACACCGCCCGUCACUCCUACCGAUUGAAUGCUCAGGUGAGCCAUUCGGACCUUCAUCAUGCCGGUUUCCGGUUUUGAUGAGGGAAAGUCUUGCGAACCUUAUCAUUUAGAGGAAGGAGAAGUCGUAACA
rnacentral:rRNA from 1 species